rnacentral:rRNA from 1 species
AUUGAACGCUGGCGGCAUGCUUUACACAUGCAAGUCGAACGGAAACAUGAAAGAGCUUGCUCUUUUGGUGUCGAGUGGCGAACGGGUGAGUAAUACAUCGGAACAUGUCCUUUUGUGGGGGAUAACUACUCGAAAGAGUAGCUAAUACCGCAUAAGACCUGAGGGUGAAAGCGGGGGCUCGAAAGACCUCGCGCAGAUGGAGUGGCCGAUGACUGAUUAGCUAGUUGGUGGGGUAAAGGCCUACCAAGGCGACGAUCAGUAGCUGGUCUGAGAGGACGACCAGCCACAUUGGGACUGAGACACGGCCCAAACUCCUACGGGAGGCAGCAGUGGGGAAUUUUGGACAAUGGGGGGAACCCUGAUCCAGCCAUGCCGCGUGCAGGAAGAAGGCCUUCGGGUUGUAACUGCUUUGUUAGGUAACGAAAGGU